UACGUAGGGUGCAAGCGUUGUCCGGAAUUAUUGGGCGUAAAGAGCUCGUAGGCGGCCUGUUACGUCUGCUGUGAAAUCCCGGGGCUUAACCCCGGGCGUGCAGUGGAUACGGGCAGGCUGGAGGCAGGCAGGGGAGAACGGAAUUCCCGGUGUAGCGGUGAAAUGCGUAGAUAUCGGAAGGAACACCUGUGGCGAAAGCGGCUCACUGGACCAUUACUGACGCUGAUGCACGAAAGCUAGGGGAGCAAACAGG
rnacentral:rRNA from 1 species